rnacentral:rRNA from 1 species
CACCGGCGGCCCGAGUGGUAACCGCUUUUAUUGGGUCUAAAGGGUCUGUAGCCGGCCAAGUAAGUCCUUUGGGAAAUCUGGUAGCUCAACUAUCAGGCUGCCAGGGGAUACUGCUUGGCUUGGGACCGGGAGAGGUGAGAGGUACCUCGGGGGUAGGGGUGAAAUCUUGUGAUCCUCGAGGGACCACCAGUGGCGAAGGCGUCUCACCAGAACGGGUCCGACGGUAAGGGACGAAAGCUAGGGGCACGAACCGGAUUAGAUACCCGGGUAGUCCUAGCCGUAAACGAUGCUCGCUAGGUGUCAGUCACGGCGCGACCGUGAUUGGUGCCGUAGGGAAGCCGUGAAGCGAGCCACCUGGGAAGUAUGGCCGCAAGGCUGAACUUAAAGGAAUUGGCGGGGGAGCACUACAACGGGUGGAGCCUGCGGUUC